rnacentral:lncRNA from 1 species
GAACGAGGGAGGGAAAGAGAGGGAGCAAGAGGGAGAGAAACAGCGAGAGUGAGGAAGAAGAGGGAGGUGCAGUAUUUCCAGGCGAGAGAACUGAUGGCGCUCACGAAGGGCACGUCUUUAACACGCAGACGUACCACACGCUCAGAGACUGGACACGUUCUCCUGCUUGUCAUCCACAGACAGUCACUAGAAGGAAGAGCGUGAAAAAGAGAGAGGGCUUACCCAGUAGGAAUGACGCCCGUACGAACACAGCUCCAGGAGGAAGAAGGCUCGUCACGUGGCGAGAUACAAACACGACCAAACGACGACAGAAAAUAAUAAGACCUUGAAAAUGCACACCGCCAAACUCUUUCAAAGGAAAAUAUAAAACUCUGGGUAUCAGUGCAGAUGAAAAAAUAACACCCAAAGAGAAGAAAUAACACCAAGAUCCAAACUGAUGCAAAAAUUGCCGCACAAAACUACGGAAAGGCCCCAAAAAAGCUACUUGUUGCCAGAGCUCGAGUCUCCCCCCUGCGUGCGGCUGGAGCUGAGAACAGGGGAGCGAGCGAUAGAAGAGACGAGGCAGCAAGCGCAGAGUGAAGGAGAGAAAAGCUCGACUGAUGAUGAAAUAGGAGGUGCGGCGGAGCACGAGAGCCAGCCACUUUUUCAUCACACGUCCAACACGGCAAGGAACUGUAUAUGCACUUGAGAGAGGGAGGAGGAAGGGGAAAGGGUGGGAGACGGAGACCAAGAGGGAAAGAGAGAGAGAGAGAGAGAGAGAGAGAGAGAGAGAGAGAGAGAGAGAGACGGGGGAGAGUGGGAGGGCGGAAAGCAGUCGAGGGUGGGAGGGGGUAGAGGAGGAAGAAUGACACAGAAAUGCACUCCUCCGGCAGUGCGCAGACGCAGUGCACACACUCACGCCAUACUAGCACUCUCUGCACCCCGGCAAUCAGCUACAGAAAAGAGCAUAAAAAAUAAGGAAACGAAAAAAAGAGAACGUACAAACACUCAGAGUGGGCUGCCCUGCCUAAGGACAUUUGAAAUAUGCAACAGUUCUGAGAGCAGGUUAAAUGAUUAACCUUAUCUGGUACAGUGUAGUACAGUUCUGUAGCUCUCUCUCUCGUCAAGCUGCAACAGUCUGUCUGGAUCACAUUCUACAGCCAGCCAUGGCUUACAGACAGAAAGUAUUAACUCUUUAGCAUGCCACAGCAGCUAGCGUGAAAGCAGCAUUGAGAAGACAAAAAGUAGAUAUGGAAAAAUGGGAGCUACUUGAGUAUAAUACUGUAGUGUAGCACGUGGCAGUGUAGAGAGCGGGGUUAGUAGAGUUACAGUACAGUACAUUAAGACUGUCCUCUUCCUGCCCUGGCUCUGCUUCUCCGAGGGGCUAAACAUCGCACGACCCUUACAGCUAUUUUGGCAAGGGGUCAAAGCCUGAUAAGCAUUUUGGGUGAGACCUCACUGCUUUUCUGGAAGAAAAACAGCUGCUGUGAUUACAACGUGAUUGAGAAUUCACAGAAAACACGAGGGGUUCUGAUUUGUCCUGGGUAAAAAGGCACAGGAUAGCUUGUCCAAAUAGGAAAAGAUGGUUGAGUAUAUUUGCGUCUAAACUAUCCCUUACCCUGGAAUCAUCUAGAAUCCUGCAUUGUGGCGCGCUCCACCCUCCCUAAACCCUGCCGUUUGCGCGCGCAUAUACACACACACACACACACACACACACACACACACACACACACACACACACACACACACACACACACACACACACACACACACACACACACACACACACACACACACACACACACUCACACACACACACACUACAAAACAGCAUGGCAGACCAGUCCUCCACCAUCUUAGUACAUACCGAUUAUUAUUUGGAUUUUCGUUUUUUCUAUCUCUGUCUUUUUCAUAGUUCCUCUUUCCCUCCCUCUCUCUGUCCCACCACCUUCUCCACCAUGCGACCAGCGUUUGGCUUUUCCCAUUUGUGGCAGAUUACUAUAACACUAUUGUAAAACAACUUCCUGCCUCUUUUGGCUCUGGUUACAAAUAACGGCAAAGGCUGUGCUCACACGCUUGAACUUUUUUCCCCCUCUCUGCCCCGAAGUAUCAGGAGCUCUAAAAAGAAAGAAAGAAAGAAAGAAAAAGGAAAAACGGUCAAAUCUCUGCAUGUCUCCUGUUCUGGACGUAUUUUGAUGCCUUAUGUCUUUAAUGCCAGAUGAAAAGUAUAGCAGGGGAUUGCAUGCCUAGCAGAGAAAAAGGUGGGGGAAACUACUCUUUUGCUUCUUUUACUGUGUGUAACUUUCUGUUGGUUUGUGGAUGUCAUUGUGCUGUUAGGUUAGCUCAGACGGGACUAGCCAACAUGGCUGCUCCUGUUUUGGGCUCUCAUCUCAUCUGCAGAGUGGGUCUUUGAGGAGCACUUUCCUAACGCAACCACCC